rnacentral:rRNA from 1 species
AGGUAACAUCAAAUCGUACCCCAAACCGACACAGGUGGUCAGGUAGAGAAUACCAAGGCGCUUGAGAGAACUCGGGUGAAGGAACUAGGCAAAAUGGUGCCGUAACUUCGGGAGAAGGCACGCUGAUGCGUAGGUGAAGUCCCUUGCGGAUGGAGCUGAAAUCAGUCGAAGAUACCAGCUGGCUGCAACUGUUUAUUAAAAACACAGCACUGUGCAAACACGAAAGUGGACGUAUACGGUGUGACGCCUGCCCGGUGCCGGAAGGUUAAUUG